UGUGCUUUAUAUAUGAAUUCUAGGAUGGAUAUCUUCUUUAAGAGAUUUGGGUGUUUUCUUUUUUCAGUUCUUUCAGCAGUUUCUUUCAGUGCACUCUCUUGUUAUUAUUUUCAUACUGUCCUAAUACAAUGGUAUCAGAUCAAUCAAAAGGCAAACCAAUUGCCUUGGGUAGUUCAGGACUUGUAGUUCUAUUUAAAACUUAGCUACUGCAUCUGAGGAUGUUCAAAUGACAGAUGGAACUCAAGCUUCUAAUGUGAAUGUGCAAGAAGCAGAUCCAAAAGAAGUGACCUAUGCUGAGAGGCUAACAAAAAUAAAAGGAAUUUUGUCUGGAGAGACUUCAAUACAGUUGACUCUACAAUUUUUAUACAGUCAUAGCAAGUCGGAUCUUCUUAUUCUCAAGACAAUAAAGCAGUCUCUGGAGCCGAGAAAUAGUGUCUGCCAUAGUGCAACAAUAUAUGCUAAUGCAAUUAUGCAUGCUGGGACAACUGUGGAUACAUUUCUCUGUGAGAAUCUGCUCAAAAGCAGUUAAUUUUGUUAGGAAUCAGCUUCGGCAACACAGAGAUGUUCAGGACCGACGUUUACAAGAUAAUGUCAGCAUCAUCAUUGUUGAUUUGGGAAGGACAAAUUGGCAAAGUUUGCCUUGUUUAGAAAGAAAAUUUUGUUUAUGAAC